rnacentral:rRNA from 1 species
AUACGGAGGGGGCUAGCGUUGUUCGGAAUUACUGGGCGUAAAGCGCGCGUAGGCGGAUUGAUCAGUCAGGGGUGAAAUCCCGAGGCUUAACCUCGGAACUGCCUUUGAUACUGUCAAUCUUGAGUUCGCGAGAGGUGAGUGGAAUUCCUAGUGUAGAGGUGAAAUUCGUAGAUAUUAGGAAGAACACCAGUGGCGAAGGCGGCUCACUGGCUCGAUACUGACGCUGAGGUGCGAAAGCGUGGGGAGCAAACAGAAUUAGAUACCCUAGUAGUCC